rnacentral:rRNA from 1 species
AUGCUUAUCAUUAUGAAGAACUUGAGAGAUCCAAAAACCAAGAUCUAUCCCUCAACUACGAGGGGAGGUAAGGAACUGCCAUCUAGCUCUACACUUGAUUCACCUUCUGUUCUGAGUAAGCUUGCGACACCUACACCUGCUUCUACUAUUCGUUCUGAUAUGUCACAUGCUAUUGAUGAUGCCACUUCUGCUAUGCAUGAUACUUAUGAUGAAACUACCUCUAUGCCUGAUACUACUAUGCCACUUAGUGCUUUUCUUGAUGAACAACUUGCUAGGGCUAGAGAAAUUGAAAAUAUUGAAUCUGAUGAUACUGAUGAAAGUGAUGAUGAAGAACCACUUGCCAUUCCUAAGGGUUAUGUUUUUGAUCAAGAUGCUUCUUUAGCUAUUUUAGCUUGCAGAAAUAGAACCGAACUUAAUAGAUUAUUAGCUAAAUGGAGUAAGCAAUCUCUAAAUGCUAGAAUGAAACCUGACCCUGCUUCUGCUACUUCACCUAUCUUUGUUACUGAUAAGGAUUAUGAAUUCUCUGUUGAUCCUGAUAUAAUUACUUUGUUUGAAUCUAAGCCAUUUCAUGGUUAUGAAUCUGAAACUGUUGUGGCAGAUCUUACUAAAUUGAAUGAUAUAGCCACCCUAUUCAAUAAAGAUGAGAGAACUUGCUACUUCUAUAUCCUUAAAAUAUUUCCAUUCUAA